GGACCUGUGGCCCAGUCUGGAUAGGGCGAUUGCCUCCUAAGCAAUAGGUCGGGAGUUCGAAUCUCCCCAGGUCCG
rnacentral:tRNA from 1 species